rnacentral:rRNA from 1 species
UGGGAGCUUGCUCCCUGAUGUUAGCGGCGGACGGGUGAGUAACACGUGGGUAACCUGCCUGUAAGACUGGGAUAACUCCGGGAAACCGGGGCUAAUACCGGAUGGUUGUUUGAACCGCAUGGUUCAAACAUAAAAGGUGGCUUCGGCUACCACUUACAGAUGGACCCGCGGCGCAUUAGCUAGUUGGUGAGGUAACGGCUCACCAAGGCAACGAUGCGUAGCCGACCUGAGAGGGUGAUCGGCCACACUGGGACUGAGACACGGCCCAGACUCCUACGGGAGGCAGCAGUAGGGAAUCUUCCGCAAUGGACGAAAGUCUGACGGAGCAACGCCGCGUGAGUGAUGAAGGUUUUCGGAUCGUAAAGCUCUGUUGUUAGGGAAGAACAAGUACCGUUCGAAUAGGGCGGUACCUUGACGGUACCUAACCAGAAAGCCACGGCUAACUACGUGCCAGCAGCCGCGGUAAUACGUAGGUGGCAAGCGUUGUCCGGAAUUAUUGGGCGUAAAGGGCUCGCAGGCGGUUUCUUAAGUCUGAUGUGAAAGCCCCCGGCUCAACCGGGGAGGGUCAUUGGAAACUGGGGAACUUGAGUGCAGAAGAGGAGAGUGGAAUUCCACGUGUAGCGGUGAAAUGCGUAGAGAUGUGGAGGAACACCAGUGGCGAAGGCGACUCUCUGGUCUGUAACUGACGCUGAGGAGCGAAAGCGUGGGGAGCGAACAGGAUUAGAUACCCUGGUAGUCCACGCCGUAAACGAUGAGUGCUAAGUGUUAGGGGGUUUCCGCCCCUUAGUGCUGCAGCUAACGCAUUAAGCACUCCGCCUGGGGAGUACGGUCGCAAGACUGAAACUCAAAGGAAUUGACGGGG